rnacentral:rRNA from 1 species
AACAAACGCUGGCGGCGUGCCUAAUACAUGCAAGUCGAACGGGGAAAGCUUUCGGGUGAGUACUAGUGGCGCACGGGUGAGUAACGCGUGGAUAAUCUGCCUUAGAGUGGGGGAUAACUAGUCGAAAGAUUAGCUAAUACCGCAUAAGACCACAAGAACUGCGGUUCAAGGGGUCAAAGGUUUUUCGCUCUAAGAUGAGUCCGCGUAAGAUUAGCUAGUUGGUAGGGUAACGGCCUACCAAGGCGACGAUCUUUAACUGGUCUGAGAGGAUGAUCAGUCACACUGGAACUGAGACACGGUCCAGACUCCUACGGGAGGCAGCAGUAGGGAAUAUUGCACAAUGGAGGAAACUCUGAUGCAGCGACGCCGCGUGAGUGAUGAAGGCCUUCGGGUCGUAAAGCUCUGUCGCAGGGGAAUAACACAAUGAAGGUACCCUGUAAGAAAGGAUCGGCUAACUUUGUGCCAGCCGCCGCAGUAAGAC